CAUGAUCUUAACAUCAAAGGAAUUUCUUCGGAGAUUUCACUUUGAGAUGGACCCGCGGCGCAUUAGCUAGUUGGUGAGGUAAAGGCCCACCAAGGCAACGAUGCGUAGCCGACCUGAGAGGGUGAUCGGCCACAUUGGAACUGAGACACGGUCCAGACUCCUACGGGAGGCAGCAGUGGGGAAUAUUGCGCAGUGGGGGAAACCCUGACGCAGCAACGCCGCGUGAAUGAAGGGGGCCUUCGGGUUGUAAAGUUC
rnacentral:rRNA from 1 species